CGUGCGUGCGUGCGCACACACUGCAGAGGCUGAGUAGGAAAGGAGGGGCUGCUGAGGGAUAAAUGCCACCACAGACGAGAACACCCUGCUAUCGCUCCUUGCAUCGCCCUGCCCAGCCUCCGCCUGGCCCUCGCCUUCCAGUCAGGGAGGCUGAGUCCGUGGUUUGCAGUCUUUAAGAGAAAAGUGUUGAGACAGGCCACGUGGGCCCACGAGCCCCAGGGCCGGCAUGUCCCCUGUGCGUCCGCAGCCCUGGCCCGGGCCUCCACAAGCCGGCCUGAGGAGGUCGGCAUCACAUCCUUGGGACCCCAGCUCAAGCUCAGAGAUCAAUUGAUGCUUUUAGCUACUGGCCGGUCUGCAGAAACCAGAUGUCCAGGACGAAGGACCCCCAGACUCCAUCCACACCCUAGAUCCUCCUCGCUCCAGACCCCACUCCCAUUCUGGGCCCGCACCGCAUGGACCCCAGCCCCCAGGAUUCCUGCCCUCCACCAUCGCCAUCACCUGGUCCCCGGCUCCGUGCACCAUGCUCCUCUGUCUUCUGAGCCCUGAGCCCCCCUGAGAAGUGACGAGGCCAGGAGAGGCUUUCUGGGCCCACGUGCAGGAGGCGAGCCAGGAUGCUGAAGUUGACCCUCGCUUUAGGACACCAGCUUUCUGAGCCCAGACAGGCUGCCGAGCGCUGUGCUCGUCCUUCCAAGCGGGACUUCAGGUCUAAUGACGCUUCUUGUUCGAGAUGUCUGAGUUGAACCUCUCUGAAGCGGAGCCCUGCAUCAAGGAUGACAGAGAAAGGCACACAGUGGCUUGAAAUAAGCGUGUCACAGAGAAAGUCUCCUUUCCUAGAAAGGGGUCUGGCCGGCUGCAGG
rnacentral:lncRNA from 1 species